rnacentral:rRNA from 1 species
GACGAACGCUGGCGGCGUGCCUAAUACAUGCAAGUAGGACGCAGUUGCGAACGGGUGAGUAACGCGUAGGUAACUACCUAUUAGAGGGGGAUAACUAUUGGAAACGAUAGCUAAUACCGCAUACUAGUAGCUGGAACUGCGUUGGAUUAGCUAGUAGGUAGGGUCAUGGCCUACCUAGGCAACGAUGCAUAGCCGACCUGGGGGGGUGGUCGGCAAAACUGGGACGGGGAGUCGGGCCAGAGUCCUAAGGGAGGCAGCAGGAGGGAAUCGUCGGAAAUGGGGGGAACCCUGACGGAGAAAGGGCGCGGGAGUGAAGAAGGGUUUCGGAUCGUAAAGCUCUGGUGUUAAGGAAGCGGUACUUAACCAGAAAGGGACGGCUAACUACGUGCCAGCCGCCGCGGUAAUAC